rnacentral:rRNA from 1 species
UGAGCCCGCGGCCUAUCAGCUUGUUGGUGAGGUAACGGCUCACCAAGGCGACGACGGGUAGCCGGCCUGAGAGGGCGACCGGCCACACUGGGACUGAGACACGGCCCAGACUCCUACGGGAGGCAGCAGUGGGGAAUAUUGCACAAUGGGCGGAAGCCUGAUGCAGCGACGCCGCGUGAGGGAUGACG